AACGCAUUUCUAUUCUAUUGUCUCUGUUUAUUUGUUUCUUUCGUUUGUAUACCAAUUUUACUGGCCUUGUGAAAAUUACAAUAGGCCGAUGCGAAUAUUGUCAUUGACGGAAGAAAAGGCAAAGCGGAAGGAAAUUUCACAGAUUGCCUCAUAAUGAUCUGUAUCUACUGGAAAAGUGGGUUGAAAAAUACAGUGAAAACAACUGGAGACCAAGCUGUGAUGAUGUACUAUAUUCUGUACAUGUCAAAGAGUCUUACUUUGACCACACAAGAUUUUCCGCAUGGUUGAAAACAAAACAAUGUACCAAACAUUUUUGGCUUUAUGAUAUAUUGUAUCUCUUGCAAAUGUGAAACCUCCUUGCCGAGAUCUACUGCAAUCCAGUAUUGAAAUUUUGUUCUACAACGGAAUUAUUCCAGGUUUUCUAUUGUAAAAAUCUCAGCUUUUACAGAAAUGGAAUAAAAAUAUAAAGAACCUU